UCCCCUGUAGCUCAACCGGCAGAGCAGGAAGCUGUUAACUUCAAGGUUGGAGGUUCGAGUCCUCCCGGGGGAG
rnacentral:tRNA from 1 species